ensembl:lncRNA
GAGGGGGAAUGAGAGGUGGAGAGAAGGAGGGAAGGAGAGGUGGAAAAAGGGACCGAAUGAGGUGGAGAGAGGGAAGGAAGGAGAGGUGGAGAGAGCGAGUGAAUGAGAGGUGGAGAGAGGGAGGGAAGGAGUGGUGGAAAGAGGGAGGGAAUGAGGUGGAGAGAGGGAAGGAAGGAGAGGUGGAGAGAGCGUGAAUGAGAGGUGGAGAUAGGGAGGGAAGGAGAGGUGGAGAGAGGUAAGGAAGCAUAGGUGGAGAGAGGGAGGGAAGUAGAGGUGGAGAGAGGGAGGACAGGAGAGGUGGAGAGAGGGAGGGAAUGAGAGGUGGAGAGA